GAUGAAGAACGUAGCGAAAUGCGAUAAGUAAUGUGAAUUGCAGAAUUCAGUGAAUCAUCGAAUCUUUGAACGCACCUUGCGCCCUUUGGCCAUUCCGAAGGGCAUGCCUGUUUGAGUAUCAUGAACACCUCAACUCUUUAUGGUUUUCCAUGAUGAGCUUGGACUCUGGGGGUUUUGCUGGCUCACAGUCGGCUCCUCUAAAAUGAAUCAGCUUACCAGUGUUUGGUGGGUAUCAUGGGUGUGAUAACUAUCUACGCUUGUGGUUUUUCCACCAGGUAACCUUCAGCAGUGGAGGUUCACUGGAGCUUACAAAUGUCUCUCCUCCGUGAGGACAGCCCUUUGAAUGUUUGAUCUCAAAUCAGGUAGGACUACCCGCUGAACUUAAGCAUAUCAUAAGCGGAGGA
rnacentral:misc_RNA from 1 species